ACCUGGGUGGCUAAGUUGGUUAAGCAUCUGACUUCAGCUCAGGUCACUAUCUCGCAGUUUGUGGGUUCGAGCCCCACAUCGGGCU
rfam:Felis catus isolate Cinnamon breed Abyssinian chromosome D4, whole genome shotgun sequence.